GAUGUUCAGUAUUGAGACAUUUGUAAACAGUCAAUAGGAACAGUCCCUGCAGAAAUGGUCGCAUAGGACAGUCUUCUGCAUGUGGUUAAGACCUGUAAGUGCUGGAGGACCCCUGCAAUGGAGACUCCUUCUUCAUUCUGACAGUGACUGAGGGAUUUGAUCCCCUACAUCAGCAUUACCCCAUGCCAAGAUCCCAAUAAACUAGGAUUUUUUUAACCAAUACACUAUGUGUGAGCACCUGUGCAACACAGACACGGCAGCAGCCAUACACUGCGUGUGAUUGCAAGGUGCCUCCUGCCUCCUCCAGCUCCCUGUGCCCCUGGAGGCAUUGAUGGUAUAUGAAUGACCAUGACCAAGGCUUGCCAUGCAUCAGCAAUGGCUGGCUUUCCUCCCAGAGGGUGGUCUGCAGUGGGGCUGAAGGGGACACCACUGCUCCCCUGUGCCUUGCUGAUGAGCCUGAGCUGGAAGAAGGCAAACAAUGCCAGGUUUGUGGCUCAGAGAGGCAGAGCAGACACAAGCAGUGUGCAAAGCACUGCGAGCAGGUCUUGCAGCUGGGUAAAACCCAGUGCUGAUGAAUGCCCAACGCCCACAGGGAAGCAUCCUCAGUCACAGCCCCCCCCCAGACGCCUGCAGGCACCCUUGGCAGACCAUGUCCUCUCACCUGCCACCUCAAAACUGAGAUGUUGGAUGCGUCACAGCCUUGCUGGGGACCGGCCUUGCAAACAGCUUUGCCAGCCCAUGCCUGAUGCAUUUCGCACCAGCACUGUGGCUGCCUGCAGGCAUUUUCAGACUGCUCAAACUGUGGUCAUCACCACUGCCUUGCUGGAGCACCCUAGGACUGCUGCACAGCCUCUGGGGAGCCCUGCCCUGGAGAAAUGUUGACAUGAAGGCAAUAAUAAAGUCAGGAGGAUGCAUGCAGUAAAGCUGCAGGCUUAGCGGGACGCCCUGUCACUGACCUGGCUGUGCUUUGGGGUGAGAGCAGAGUCCCGUGGUCCUUCUGCCACCCUCUUUCCUAUUUCCCAGGUUCCUCUAAAGCAGGUAAAAGGCUGCACAGACCAAAGAACACCACAGCAGAGGGCUGGCGUAAAGGCAUUCUGCUUAGAAAGGCUGUAAGGGAACUGAAAAAGCUGGAAAAAUUCCAGGGAGGCACAGAGAAGGAAACAGCAGCAUUGCUCCAGGAGCAGAAGAUGGACCCAAGGGAGAAAAACGUGAAAAGCAAAUCACAGGCCAGUCUGCAACUAGGUGGGCUAAAACACAGAGCAGGUGGAAAACUUGCUGAAGCCAAGGAUGCUGUUAACAAAUCUCUCCCACAGCAUUCAUUGCAGGAAAACCAGGGGAGCAGCAGGAGGUGGCAGCUCCACCAGCCCACUCCUUUCUUUAGGAUGCUCAGAUCUGAGGCAGGGUGCCAGCACAGGGCAUGCAGCACCAUCUGGGGUUAAUUUGCGACUGGACAGCUUGAGGACCAAGCUUCAGAUUCAGUCAUGGAGCUCAGUUUCUUGGAAAUCAUUCAUUUUGGCUGGGAGGGCUGACUCAGGCAGCACUGGCACUGCCCAUUACAGGAGAGUUUUGAGGCUGGAUGUGCUGCAGCUACCAGCGCUGUGCUGCCGGUAUGGAGCAGCCCUCACCACCCACCAGGAUUAUGGACACAGCUGAGAUGCCACGCCUGCCUGCCCAAGGGCUGCCUCGGAGUUGGGGGGACUCCCAGGCAGCUUUUUUGGGUGCAGAAUGGCCCCCUAGCUUACCAUCCCAUCAUGCUCACCCGGCAUCAAGGAGGGAAGAGCCAACGCUGGCCCAUGCUUUGUGUCAGAGGGUCACUUUGGGGAUGCACCAUCCCGUUUGGGCUGGAAAAGGGGAUUUUUCAGAGCCAGUCUCUUCCUGGAAUAACCGGACGAGAGCUUCACCCUGCACCUGCCCAGCUUCCCCAGGACAUAACCACAGACUGCACAAGACACAGCUGCCGCUGCAGCUACAAACCAGAAAACUUCUUCCAGUUGACGCUGAAGCCAAAGGUGCACUGCCCAUGCUCGUCCAAGUGCUGGGAGCUGACAAGGUGGGACGGCUCAGUGGGUUUCUGGGCGCUCGAUACGGUGGUGUGGUAGUCACCAGAGAAGUUGCCCUGGCUGUCAGCCGCGGAUGCGUGCAUCCUGGAGCCCAGCUCGUUCUCCCACCAACCAGUCAUGUCGUACUGUGGGGGGAAAAGCAGACAUGUCCUCAGGGGCUGCCUGCACACAGACCCUACCCCUGCCCCCGAGGCUGAGCCCCCUACCCACACCCCCCCAGUGCCCAUGGGGUGCCAGCAUUCACCUUACCAUUCCUUGUGCGGUGUUCCUGCUCACAGCCUGGCCACCACUCAGUGUUGGUUGCCUUUGCCUCCUUCGUGCCAGCCAUUUCUCUCCUGGGCAUCUUGGCUGCCUGGCAGAGGAGCUUAGAAAAGAAAGAAAACACAGGGGCAAGCCGUGGGCAGUGGCACAGCAGGGUGUCUCUUGAGCCUAUGAGUGCUCGGACACUUGUUUUUAAGAGCGAUGAUUUCUAAAGUUGCUGCCACCUCAGCCAUGUCAGGAGGCCCAAAAGCUGGAGUAAGCUGAGCAGAAUAGGAGAGGAAGAGGAAAGGGUAAA